AUUAUGGAGAGUUUGAUCCUGGCUCAGGACGAACGCUGGCGGCGUGCCUAAUACAUGCAAGUCGAGCGGAGUUAAUC
rnacentral:rRNA from 1 species